AUUGAACGCUGGCGGCAGGCCUAACACAUGCAAGUCGAGCGAGCGGCGGACGGGUGAGUAAUGUCUGGGAAACUGCCUGAUGGAGGGGGAUAACUACUGGAAACGGUAGCUAAUACCUCCUACCAUCAGAUGUGCCCAGAUGGGAUUAGCUAGUAGGUGGGGUAACGGCUGACCUAGGCGACGAUCCCGAGCUGGUCUGGGAGGAUGACCAGCCACCCUGGAACUGAGACACGGUCCAGACGCCUACGGUAGGCAGCAGUGGGGAAUAGGGGACAAUGGGCGCAAGCCUGAUGCAGCCAUGCCGAGUGUGUGAAGAAGGCUUUCGGGUUGGAAAGCACUGUCAGCGGGGAGGCGUUACCCGCAGAAGAAGCACCGGCUAACUCCGUGCCAGCAGCCGCGGUAAUAC
rnacentral:rRNA from 1 species